rnacentral:misc_RNA from 1 species
CGUCUUCUGUUACACCGAGUUCGCCGUGGAAAUUCCGGUUGCAGGCGGUUCAUUUGCUUACCUAAGAGUAGAGCUUGGUGACUUCGUGGCCUUCAUUGGCGCUGGCAACAUCCUCCUUGAGUAUGUGAUUGGUGGUGCUACUGUGUCCCGCUCAUGGACAUCUUACUUCGCCACCCUGUGCAACCGCAAACCUGAUGAUUUCCGAAUCAUAGCCCAUACUCUUCCUGAUGAUUAUGGCCUAUUAGAUAUACUGCUGGAAGUUUAGUUAAUUUAUAUUAGUUGUUGCUGAGUUGUUUAGUUUGACUUUUCUUAGUAGCUCAGUUCAUGUGUAUAGAGCUGUUAUUUGUCUUGUAUAUAUAGUGUAACAGUUACUUUGUUUUAGAUGAAUGAGUACAUUAGUUUUUCUCUCAAUUCACAAGUUUUUCAUGGUAUUAGAGCGGGUAUUGAAAAAUUGAGAAAACCCCAAUUUUCACCAAAGAAACCCCAAUCUUCUCUAAACCCUCGAAACCUUAGAAAGAUUUUCCUAGAAAAUGGAAGAAAAUAGUACCAUCAGAAAUCUAAACACAAUCAAUGCAUCCAAGGAAGACGAUCUUUUGGUUCUCCAAAGCUCAGAUCAUCCUAGGUUGAUCCUUGUCUCCGUGCUUCUCAUUGGCAAGAACUACAGAUCUUGGUGUCAUGCCAUGAGAAUAGCGUUGGGAGCAAAGAACAAGCUAGGGUUCAUCGAUGGCAAAAUUACUAUACCAGAGGAAGGUUCUGAAGAUUAUGAGAAGUGGAAACGCUGUGAUUACAUGGUAACUUCUUGGUUGCUUAAUUCGAUUGCCAGAGAAUUAGUCAGAGGAUUUCUAUAUAAUACAACAGCCAAAGAACUUUGAGAUGAAAUAGCUGAGCGAUUUGGUGAAAGUAAUGGGCCCAUGAUUUACCAAAUCAUAAGGAAGAUGGCUUUGAUCUCUCAAGAAAACUUAUCGGUCUCGAAUUACCAUUUAAAAUUGAAGCAGUUGUGGGAUGAACUAGCUAGUAUUGAGGCAUUGCCUUUGUGCACUUGUGGAUAUAUGAAAUUAGCAAAUGAUAUUCUUAAUAAAGAUAGAUUAAUGCAGUUUUUGAUGGGUUUAAAUGAUUCCUAUGACCAGGUACGGAGCCAAAUCCUUGUAUCAGAUCCUCUCCCGACUGUGAACAAAGCCUAUUCUUCGGUUUUGCAGGUAGAAACACAGAAAGAAAUACAGUUGAAUUUGACAGAAAAUAUUAAUUCAGUAGCCCUAGCUACUAAAGCGCAAGGACCACGUAGGGGUUUUAAGAAGUAUGAGGCUAGAAAAGGGCAUUGUGAUUACUACAAUCUUGAUGGUCAUACAAGGGAGGGGUGCUUUAAGUUGAUAGGAUAUCCAGAUUGGUUUAAGAAUCGGAAUAAGACAACAAAUCAACAAGCAUAGUCACAGCCAAGAUUUGUAGCACCAAUCAUGAAUACCUCAAGCCCUAUGGUUGUUAAUACACCUUUGGACAGAGGCAAUGAGGUUGAGAUCUCUAAGUAUGAAGAGUUGAGCAGCAAAUUGGGUUCCUUACAAUUAGAGUUGCAGAAGUUAUUGAAAGGAAAGUUGCCAGCUAUUGUUGCUACUGCUACAAGUCAAACAUAUCCUGCUGUGACAGGUUUUGCUAGUAAUCUCAGUUCCAAUUUGGUUUGUUGUGCUGGAAUGAUAAGUUUAGAUUCUUGGAUAAUAGACACUGGUGCAUCAGACCACAUGUCCCCUAAUAACCAAUUGUUUUAGACUAUUAAACCCUUAGAAUUCCCAUUAACCAUUUAUUUACCUGAUGGCCAUUCAACACAAGUAACCCAAACUAGAAACAUUGUUUUAAAUGAUCAAUUAGUCUUGUUAGAUGUGCUAUAUGUUCUAGAUUUUAAGCUCAAAUUACUUUCAGCAAAUAAACUUCUCAAACACUCUAACCUGAAAUUGGUUUUUUACCCUUCUUAUUGUGUCUUUUAGGACCAAAGGACUGAUACAAUAGUAGCUAUUGGCAAAGCAGAGAAAGGGCUUUAUAAACUUGAUGUUUUUAGCUUCUCACAGUCCGUAAUUACUCAUUUUAUUGCCCAACUUCAAGAGUCAUUUGUGUCACAUUCAAUUUCUUUACCCAUUGUAAAUACUAGUCUCUCUACUUUUAAUAUCAAUAAAGAGAGUUAUCAUGUUUCCAAUCUUCAUAGUUCUGUUGAUUUUAGUCUUUUGCAUGCAAGGUUAGGUCAUCCUUCAGUUCAAAAGAUGUCUCAUAUUAGUAACCUUAAAUUGUCUAGUGAUAGAUCUUUUCAAUGUGACCUUUGUCCCUUAGCCAAACAAACCAGAUUGCCAUUCCAAUUGAGUGACAUUCAUUAAGAUAAACCUUUUGAGUUAUUACACAUGGAUUUGUGGGGUCCAUAUGCUAUUCUAUCUAUUAUUACAGCUCAAUAUUUUUUGACAAUUGUAGAUGACUUUACAAGAGCUACAUGGACAUAUAUGGUAAAAUAAAAGAGUCAGUGUUAUGAUGUCAUUAAUGCCUACCUUGCUUAUGUUGCCAAUCAAUUCAGUGCUACUGUUAAGAUCAUUAGAAUAGAUAAUAGCACAGAAUUCUAGAAUCACCAGUGUUCUGUCCUGUUUGGGUCAAAGGGUAUCAUCCAUUAGACAAGUUGUUCUCACACCCCCCCAACAAUGGGGUUGUGGAAAGAAAACAUAAACAUAUUUUAAAGAUGGCUAGAGCUCUUAGACUUCAAGCUCAUUUUCCCAAGGAAUAUUGGUUAGAAUGCAUUCUCACUACUACCUAUCUAAUCAAGACUCUCGGUCAAAAAGCUUCAUUGGAAAACACCUUAUGAACUUUUAUUUCAUAAACCACCCUCUUAUGAUCACCUAAAAAUGUUUGGUUAUCUUUGUUUUGCUACAAAUGUGUCUCAUAAGGACAAAUUUGCUGAUAAGGCAAUUAGAGGUGUUUUUUUUAGGAUAUCCUAGUACUCAAAAAGUGUACAAAUUACUUAACUUAAACACUAACAAGUUGUUUGUUAGUAGAGAUGUGAUAUUUUUUGAGUAUGUUUUUCCAUUCAUGCAGUCUUUUCAUUCUAUUCCCAAAUCUGUACCUCUUCAUGAUAUUGUUUUGCCUCUA